GAUGAACGCUAGCGGCAGGCCUAAUACAUGCAAGACGAACGGUAAGUUGAGUAGCAAUACUUAGCCAAGAGUGUCGUACGGGUGCGUAACACGUAUGCAACCUACCCUAUACAGGAGGAUAGCCUAGGGAAACCUGGAUUAACCCUUCAUAGUAUUAUUGGAUGGCAUCAUUUGAUAAUUAAAACUGAGGUGGUAUAGGAUGGGCAUGCGUCUGAUUAGUUAGUUGGCGGGGUAAUGGCCCACCAAGACGAUGAUCAGUAGGGGUUCUGAGAGGAAGAUCCCCCCACACUGGCACUGAGAUACGGGCCAGACUCCUACGGGAGGCAGCAGUAGGGAAUAUUGGUCAAUGGAUGCAAGUCUGAACCAGCCAUGCCGCGUGCAGGAAGAAGGCCUUCUGGGUUGUAAACUGCUUUUGCCAGGGGAUGAAAUUUCCAUGCGUGGAAAACUGAAGGUACCUGGUGAAUAAGCCACGGCUAACUACGUGCCAGCAGCCGCGGU
rnacentral:rRNA from 1 species